GCAAGUCGAACGAGCGAGAGAGAGCUUGCUUUCUCAAGCGAGUGGCGAACGGGUGAGUAACGCGUGAGGAACCUGCCUCAAAGAGGGGGACAACAGUUGGAAACGACUGCUAAUACCGCAUAAGCCCACGACCCGGCAUCGGGUAGAGGGAAAAGGAGCAAUCCGCUUUGAGAUGGCCUCGCGUCCGAUUAGCUAGUUGGUGAGGUAAUGGCCCACCAAGGCGACGAUCGGUAGCCGGACUGAGAGGUUGAACGGCCACAUUGGGACUGAGACACGGCCCAGACUCCUACGGGAGGCAGCAGUGGGGAAUAUUGCACAAUGGGGGAAACCCUGAUGCAGCGACGCCGCGUGGAGGAAGAAGGUCUUCGGAUUGUAAACUCCUGUUGUUGAGGAAGAUAAUGACGGUACUCAACAAGGAAGUGACGGCUAACUACGUGCCAGCAGCCGCGGUAAAACGUAGGUCACAAGCGUUGUCCGGAAUUACUGGGUGUAAAGGGAGCGCAGGCGGGAAGACAAGUUGGAAGUGAAAUCCAUGGGCUCAACCCAUGAACUGCUUUCAAAACUGUUUUUCUUGAGUAGUGCAGAGGUAGGCGGAAUUCCCGGUGUAGCGGUGGAAUGCGUAGAUAUCGGGAGGAACACCAGUGGCGAA
rnacentral:rRNA from 1 species